UAGGGAAUCUUCCGCAAUGGGCGAAAGCCUGACGGAGCAACGCCGCGUGAGUGAUGAAGGUCUUCGGAUCGUAAAACUCUGUUAUUAGGGAAGAACAAAUGUGUAAGUAACUAUGCACGUCUUGACGGUACCUAAUCAGAAAGCCACGGCUAACUACGUGCCAGCAGCCGCGGUAAUACGUAGGUGGCAAGCGUUAUCCGGAAUUAUUGGGCGUAAAGCGCGCGUAGGCGGUUUUUUAAGUCUGAUGUGAAAGCCCACGGCUCAACCGUGGAGGGUCAUUGGAAACUGGAAAACUUGAGUGCAGAAGAGGAAAGUGGAAUUCCAUGUGUAGCGGUGAAAUGCGCAGAGAUAUGGAGGAACACCAGUGGCGAAGGCGACUUUCUGGUCUGUAACUGGCGCUGAUGUGCGAAAGCGUGGGGAUCAAACAGGAUUAGAUACCCUGGUAGUCCACGCCGUAAACGAUGAGUGCUAAGUGUUAGGGGGUUUCCGCCCCUUAGUGCUGCAGCUAACGCAUUAAGCACUCCGCCUGGGGAGUACGACCGCAGGGUUG
rnacentral:rRNA from 1 species